CUGUAGGAUCUGCAAAGGACAGAAGCGGGACUGAAUUUAUUAAGCUAGGCGCACAUCUCAGGCCUCAAGCAGAAACAAAUCCAUAACAGAGAAAGAAUGAGCCUUAAUCAGAUGUGAACAGCAGGCUGAUGGAUCUGGUUCAAGUACAGCAUGGCAAAUAUCUACCUGCAAGCCUCAACACAAGCAGCAGAAGGAGAAGCUUCAUGAUGUAUGCAGUUUUGGUAGCCUUCUUCAGUAGCUCCAACCUAAUAUGUAGGCACUUUGAUCAGUCUUUCUCCUUUAUACCCGACGGCUUUUAGGACGACAGUGGGAGGAACUGACAGCUUUAUUGCUUUUCAGCAUCAUUUCCCAUCCAGCCGUAACCUUUGUAUAAACGUUAUCGAAGAAGAUUUCAACACCUUUGGUUAACAAUAUGUUCCAUAGAGCAAAACACUUCCUUGUUCCUCAUUCCUUUUCUGAAAACAAGAAGAACUUUCAUUUAUCAUAGAUCUGGUAAAUCUUCUUUAGACAUGAACAAUUCCAGUCACGGUUUUUGUGAUUUUGUGUGUAAGCUCAUAGUAUAAAGAUCAGCAAAGACUUACAGCACCACACAGAUUCUUUUUGUCAUAACGCUGGAGACCUGAUUCCCAUUUCUACUUAUAAAGGUUAAUAUUUUAUGAAACAGUUAAUUAUUAUUAACUGUUUCAUAAUAUUAAUUGAAAUAUUGCACAACACCAAAUGGCCUUUUGGGAAACCUAAAGAUCUACUAGUCAUAUUCUCUCUCUCUCACCCUUCGAAUCUGUAGAAACAUGAGAAAUUUUCCCCAAAUUAUUCCUAAAAUUGAGCAGUGAUUAAUCCACGAACCCACUAUAGCAAUAGCCAUCCAGCUAUAUGCGUUUUAUUGCCUUGAGUGUUGCUGGAGGGUGGAUACUGAUCCAGGUGGUGGAAUAGGGGUACACAGAUGACUAGUCCAUCACAGGGCUAACACAAAGAGAGACAACCAUGCAUGUUAGAAUGCAUGCUGAAAGCAAAUUUAGAAUCACCCAUUAACCUGCCAUGUGCAGACUGUGUGAGAAAUCCAGAGAGAAUCCAUGCAGGCACAGGGACAAUAUGCAAACUCCAUCCAGAAUGACCCAGGCCUGCACCAGCGUGUUCAAAAACAGAACCUUCUUAGACUGAUUUUCUACAUAGUUUUUAUUAGGAAAUGGUAGAAAUUGGUUUAUUUUGGAUAUUUUAUGAGAUGUUCGGAAAACUAUAUCAGUGUUUACGCCCUAAUCACCGUGUCUGAUCAUAGAUAAAAUGCUAAACAUUGUAGAAACUUUAUGAGCUUCAUUGGAUCAAACUAUAUCAGUACAUGUUUCAAAUUACUAAGCAUGACACGAUAGAAGCACGAAGCGUGAAAACAAACGACUGCUUGAUUAUUACAGCCUAGUUUACAGGCCACAUCGCCAAAAAUCUGUGAUAACUAAGGUAGAACAGGAGAUCCAAAAACAUGAACAUUCAGUUGUGUUGUCUGCUUCUCAUACAGCUGCAUCUGCAGUCAUCUGAUACUCUUUGAUGCCUGCUAGCAGUCCACCGAUCCCUGUACAUUAUUGUAUGUUGUGGAAAAUUUAUCCACUUACCGAUUGAAAUAUUUAUGGAUUAUUUUGUCUGACAAGAGGAUUUUACUGGAGCUGUAUAGCUAAAAAAAAAAAAAAUUAGGCUUCCUCAUGAAAACAAGCAGACUGAAAUGCAAUGUGGAUUCAUCUGACAGCCAUUGCAUCUGCUUUGUUUAUCCGUAACCCAUGGUAACCACCCCUUCGCAACACCACUGGUUAUAAGACAUAAACUUACUUUACAAUCCCUUGCAGGUGUGGAGGCCAUAAUUGCAUUCAGUUGCAGAUAUCGGAUGGGUGGAGUGCAAUAAAUAAGGAUGACUGCAUCGAAAUCAAAUGUCUGUUUCAUUCUAAAAAAUAGUAGCAAAAGCAGCAGUGGUCGUAUUACAAUACUGUAGUCCUUAAGAUUUGCACACAUGUGUAGUUGGUCCUGUUUGGCUCUGCUGUAUACAUCUUUCGUAACAACUACACAAACCCAUGCCUAAAAGCUAUUUCAUCUCUUUUGUUUGUAUUGGCUGUAGCUUCUGAAGAGGACACAUGUUGUAGAUUUAUGCAUUAAUUAAAAAUCAAAGCACUCUUGCAUCACUGCUUGUCAGAAUCCAUAAAACCAACUCCCUCGUCUUUGUUGUUUAUUCUUCUCCAUCAGUUUCUCUGCGAUCACAUUUUACAUGUUGUUUCUUUUCAUCCAUUAUUAAUUGCAACAGAGCCCUCUGUUCUGGUGCUGCCUCAGCUGAUAAAAGUCUUGUGCCUCAUUGUAGAUUCAUACAGACAAAAACUGAUUCUUUGCAUCAGUGAGCUGAAAGAAGACACGGGUCUUACACACACUCACACACAGAUGGGAGCAGUAUGCACAAUUUGCUGUAUCAAACACUAAACUAGCUUGUGGAAAGGAGACGUCACAUUUUGUUUGUUUGCUGGUUUUAGUAUAAAUAUUUUAUUUGAAGAUAUGACAUGAAUAUUUCAAUUUAUCCAGAGAUACCAGAGAAUCAGCGCUAGUAGGUGGUGUUACAUGUCUGAAUCAUUUGCAUUAUUUUCACAUCUGAUUUUUAACUCUCAGACCUAUGCACAAAUGAAAUGGUACAUGACAAGAUACUCUGUGCUCCCGUCCAGUUUACUCCAUGCAAGCUGGUAACUGCCUUUAUAAAAGAUCACCGUCUCCAAUCAGAGGAUAUCAUCAUCUACCCCCCGUGCAGGUUCUGAAGAUGCUGUCUGAAGUUAUGAAGUUU